GGCCGGUUGGUGGCUGCCAUGUUGACUGUGGCAUAAAACGGAGCUUCCUAAAGCCCCAUCUCUGUCAGGUCCCAUCUUGAGUGUGGCUAAAUGGGAAGGAGGCAAAUCCCAGACGCCACCUUGCGAGGGGCAUGAAGAAAAGCGGCUCACUGGCCGCCAUCUUGGGUGUGGCAUCGCCCCACCCAUGAGGCCCCAUCCCCAGCUGCGGGGCGGGUGUGGGGCCUGGAGGGGGAAGACAGGGCAGGCUUGGGCAGUGCUGGGUGGCAGCGGCACAACACCAAAGGAACAGCAGCGGGUUCCAAUUUGCAGAGGAUAAAGAAUAAUCCUCACAAACGGCUGCCUUUCAGCCAAGGACUCAGAGCC